rnacentral:rRNA from 1 species
CUACGGGUGGCUCCAGGCGAGAAAACUUUGCAAUGUGCGAAAGCACGACAAGGUUAAUCCGAGUGGUUUGUGCUAAACGAACCUUUUGACAGUCCUAGAAACACUGUUGAAUAAGGGGUGGGCAAGUUCUGGUGUCAGCCGCCGCGGUAAAACCAGCACCUCAAGUGGUCAGGAUGAUUAUUGGGCCUAAAGCAUCCGUAGCCGGCUCUGUAAGUUUUCGGUUAAAUCUGUACGCUCAACGUACAGGCUGCCGGGAAUACUGCAGAGCUAGGGAGUGGGAGAGGUAGACGGUACUCGGUAGGAAGGGGUAAAAUCCUUUGAUCUAUUGAUGACCACCUGUGGCGAAGGCGGUCUACCAGAACACGUCCGACGGUGAGGGAUGAAAGCUGGGGGAGCAAACCGGAUUAGAUACCCUAGUAGUC